GGGGCCGUAGCUCUCAGUUCGCCGCGCCCCUCCCCGCUCCCUGAUUGGCGGAGAGAGCGCGGGACAGAGACUCGGCGCGUGGGGUCCUCCUGGACACCCCAGCCCACAGUCAGGCCCCCACAUACAUCCCAGUCAUUCACAUGCUGAGCUAGUUCUUCAGGGACCCCCACAGCCCAGCAAACUUCUCCAUCCAUGAGCCCCAUGGACCUGUGGCCGGGAAGAGCUGAGGACAGACAGGUCUGAGGAGCAGAGCAGGAGCUCUGGGAAGGAGAAGAGCAAUAUGAAGAUGGAGUGUAAGAUGAGGCCAGGUAACUUCUGUGGAGGGAGACAUGCUGGACAGGGCCUAAGAUUGGGGAGA